AUUUCCUGGUGCCCAGGGAACUUAUGCGAUUACUCUCUCUCAUCCGGUGAAGAUAACGCACGUGACAGUGGACCACGUCUCGCGCUACAGCUCACCCACUGGCAGCAUCAACUCCGCGCCCAGAGCCUUUGAACUCUAUGGAAUGACAGACAUCUCAGAAAAGAGAACUCUUCUUGGAACAUUCACCUACAAUAAGGGUGGCGAGUCCACGCAGACAUUUCAGCUGCUUAACCCAACUGACGACAUCUAUCGUGGUGUGGAGAUGCAUGUCCUCAGUAACUGGGGACAAGCUGAAUAUACAUGUCUUUACCGCCUUCGUGUGCAUGGGAAGAUCGCCUCCACAUGAGUUCUAAUGGACUGUCUUUCUCAGUACCUCUCUCUGUCUUUUUUUUCUAUUCAAAUCCUUUGUAAAAAAAAUAAUGUUUUAACGCCCUAAGUUUUUCUUUUAAUUCAUAAAUUUGGUUCAACUUUCUACUUCCACUAAUUUGAACUUUCAGUUAUACAAUUAUUUUCUAACUAUUCUACUUUUUGAAUAGAGAACGAGAUGGUGAAUAUCCCACGUACAUUUGAGGGUUAGUGCUAGGGUAUGCUUAGGCUAAGGGUACAUCUGACUGGCUACUGGCUUGUAUGGCAGCACUAUGAAAGCCAUGUGGCCUGCUCAGUGGACCAGUCAUCAUUACCUCUAUGCCCUUUUAAACUUAAAACUGAAUGUUCCCUGUGAUUUCUGAUGCACUAAUAAUGCCUACCAUCAGUUUAUGCUUCGGAUGUAAGCGGAUGUUAGGGACAUGUCUUCAGUUGUGUACUUGUACCUAAUUCAGUUCAUAUUCAGCUGUAUAAAAUGCAUUUCAUAGAUGCAUGUGAACCAUA